UACGUAGGGGGCAAGCGUUAUCCGGAUUUACUGGGUGUAAAGGGGGCGCAGACGGCAGCGCAAGCCAGGAGUGAAAGCCCGGGGCCCAACCCCGGGACUGCUCUUGGAACUGCGCGGCUGGAGUGCAGGAGGGGCAGGCGGAAUUCCUGGUGUAGCGGUGAAAUGCGUAGAUAUCAGGAGGAACACCGGUGGCGAAAGCGGCUCUCUGGUCUGUAACUGACGCUGAGGUUCGAAAGCGUGGGUAGCAAACAGG
rnacentral:rRNA from 1 species